CACUAUAUGAGGGUACUUUCUGCAUACAACCCUUGAAAGCUCUGGACCCUGCACUCUUCUACAAACUCACUACCUAAAGCUCUAAGAGACUAACUCUCCUGCCUAACCCAGCGUCUGUUUGCCUGGGCUGAACUUCCUCUCCACUAUAUGAGGGUACUUUCUGCAUACAACCCUUGAAAGCUCUGGACCCUGCACUCUUCUACAAACUCACUACCUAAAGCUCUAAGAGACUAACUCUCCUGCCUAACCCAGCGUCUGUUUGCCUGGGCUGAACUUCCUCUCCACUAUAUGAGGGUACUUUCUGCAUACAACCCUUGAAAGCUCUGGACCCUGCACUCUUCUACAAACUCACUACCUAAAGCUCUAAGAGACUAACUCUCCUGCCUAACCCAGCGUCUGUUUGCCUGGGCUGAACUUCCUCUCCACUAUAUGAGGGUACUUUCUGCAUACAACCCUUGAAAGCUCUGGACCCUGCACUCUUCUACAAACUCACUACCUAAAG